UAGACCGGAAAAGCUCUGUGCCCAUACUGAGGAGAUGUACUGUAGUGGGGGGAGAUUUUUCAAGAGGCCCCCAAUUGGCCAUGGCCCCUGGGCACAGGGCCUAGUGGUAAUCCUUCUCUGCCCAGCUGCCCCCAGCAGUGUAAGGUUUGGGGAGGCUUAGCCUCCCCCAGCCUCCAUUAUGCUCUGCCCAGCCCUGGCUCCAAAGAUUUUUAAAAUUAUUUAGCCACAGUGGAACGGCCUCAACAGGAGAGACUGAGGGAGCCCCCGACAUCAAUAUAUCCUACAGCCCAGUGUUUAGAGUACUCAUCUGAGAGGUGAUAGAUCCCCAUUUAAAUCUCCCCGUAACCCUUCCAGGCAAAGGAGGAGGAAGUUGAACCAGAAGUCUCCUACAUCACAGGGGGGGAAAAAUCUACCCACAAUACACAGGCAGACUCAUUUGCAAGAAAUGUGCAGAAAAAAACAGAAGUUUUCCCUACACUGAAUUAAUCCCUCGACAACUAGAUCCACCAAGUUUCAGACUGCUUUGUACAAGUGGCCCUACUUGAAGGAGUCUUACUAGACGUAAGAACCAGACUGUGACAAGGUAAAAGCAGCAGCCUGGACAAGGUUAAGAAGUCUCUGCUAAUCACAUGUUUAGACAGGAUAUAUAAGGAAGUGAAGCUGGAUACAGGGCUGCAGGGGAUGGUGUGUCCUCUUCCCCGAUUGAUGGAGGCAGGGAAAAGCCUCUUAGGGGCUAUGACUGGUGUUUGCAGUUGAGUUGUGUUGUGUUAUUUUGUUUUGAUUUGCAACCUAUGUUGUAAACAAUCAACACAUCCCUAAGGGUCUUAUAAAGGAAGCUGGCAUGAAGUUUGCUUCC